CCCUUAGAUGUUCUGGGCCGCACGCGUGCUACACUGAGUGGAUCAGCGGGUCAGGUUGCGCGAAAGUGUUUCCUAAUCUUGAAAUCCGCUCGUGAUGGGGAUUGACGGUUGCAAUUUUCCGUCAUGAACGAGGAAUACCUUGUAAGCGCGGGUCAUCAUCCCGCGCUGAAUACGUCCCUGCCCUUUGUACACACCGCCCGUCGCUACUACCGAUUGAAUGGUUUAGUGAGAUCUUCGGAUUGGCGCCAUCGUGGCUUCGCGGCCAUGACGGAUGGCCGAAAAGUUGAUCAAACUUGAUCAUUUAGAGGAAGUAAAAGUCGUAACA
rnacentral:rRNA from 1 species